GUUUGAUCCUGGCUCAGGAUGAACGCUAGCUACAGGCUUAACACAUGCAAGUCGAGGGGCAUCAGUUUGGUUUGCUUGCAAACCAAAGCUGGCGACCGGCGCACGGGUGAGUAACACGUAUCCAACCUACCUCAUACUCGGGGAUAGCCUUUCGAAAGAAAGAUUAAUAUCCGAUGGCAUAUAUUUCCCGCAUGGGUUUUAUAUUAAAGAAAUUCGGUAUGAGAUGGGGAUGCGUUCCAUUAGUUUGUUGGGGGGGUAACGGCCCACCAAGACUACGAUGGAUAGGGGUUCUGAGAGGAAGGUCCCCCACAUUGGAACUGAGACACGGUCCAAACUCCUACGGGAGGCAGCAGUGAGGAAUAUUGGUCAAUGGACGCGAGUCUGAACCAGCCAAGUAGCGUGAAGGAUGACUGCCCUAUGGGUUGUAAACUUCUUUUAUAUGGGAAUAAAGUGGUCCACGUGUGGACUUUUGUAUGUACCAUAUGAAUAAGGAUCGGCUAACUCCGUGCCAGCAGCCGCGGUAAUACGGAGGAUCCGAGCGUUAUCCGGAUUUAUUGGGUUUAAAGGGAGCGUAGGCGGAUUGUUAAGUCAGUUGUGAAAGUUUGCGGCUCAACCGUAAAAUUGCAGUUGAUACUGGCAGUCUUGAGUGCAGUAGAGGUGGGCGGAAUUCGUGGUGUAGCGGUGAAAUGCUUAGAUAUCACGAAGAACUCCGAUUGCGAAGGCAGCUCACUGGAGUGUAACUGACGCUGAUGCUCGAAAGUGUGGGUAUCAAACAGGAUUAGAUACCCUGGUAGUCCACACAGUAAACGAUGAAUACUCGCUGUUUGCGAUAUACAGUAAGCGGCCAAGCGAAAGCAUUAAGUAUUCCACCUGGGGAGUACGCCGGCAACGGUGAAACUCAAAGGAAUUGACGGGGGCCCGCACAAGCGGAGGAACAUGUGGUUUAAUUCGAUGAUACGCGAGGAACCUUACCCGGGCUUAAAUUGCAAAUGAAUUAUGGGGAAACCCAUACGCCGCAAGGCAUUUGUGAAGGUGCUGCAUGGUUGUCGUCAGCUCGUGCCGUGAGGUGUCGGCUUAAGUGCCAUAACGAGCGCAACCCUUAUCUUCAGUUACUAACAGGUCAUGCUGAGGACUCUGGAGAGACUGCCGUCGUAAGAUGUGAGGAAGGUGGGGAUGACGUCAAAUCAGCACGGCCCUUACGUCCGGGGCUACACACGUGUUACAAUGAGGGGUACAGAAGGCCGCUACCUGGUGACAGGAUGCCAAUCCCAAAAACCUCUCUCAGUUCGGAUCGAAGUCUGCAACCCGACUUCGUGAAGCUGGAUUCGCUAGUAAUCGCGCAUCAGCCAUGGCGCGGUGAAUACGUUCCCGGGCCUUGUACACACCGCCCGUCAAGCCAUGAAAGCCGGGGGUACCUGAAGUACGUAACCGCAAGGAGCGUCCUAGGGUAAAACUGGUAAUUGGGGCUAAGUCGUAACAAGGUAGCCGUACCGGAAGGUGCGGCUGGAACACCUCCUUUCU
rnacentral:rRNA from 1 species